UUUCCAAAUCUGGAAACUUUCUCUCUCCCGAGCCAUUUUCUGGGCUCUCUUUUGUCCGGCCAUAUCUUCCUCCACAGACCUCCAAUCGACUUGAUUCCAAAAGAAAAUUUUCUCGUCUUGAAGUCAUUUACAACUUCCCAGAAGAUAUCGAGGUGAAAUACGAACUGUGAAGAGCGCCACAAGGCCGAGAAGCUGCACAGCUCGAGCUGAAAUCUCCCGAGCUGCUCCUCCCUUCGCCGGCUGAUUUCUUCCUCCUCCGGCCACCAUAGGACGCGAUUCAAAGUGGGUUCUCUUCGCCUCAAUCCCCUCUUGAGGUUUGUGGAAGAAUUGGAGCAUGAAACGAGCUGUGGAGGGCGGUGCAAGGCCGAGAUGUUGUACGGUGGAACUGCUAUCGCCUCAAAUCGCCGGGCUUGGUUCUCCCAGCUCCGGCCACUAUAGCUCGAGAUUCUUGAGGGAUUUUCGGCUUUUCUAGCCCAGAAGACGUAGAAGCUAUACCCAAGAAGGCUUGCAGCGAUUCGAUCUGUGGUGAUCGAAUUUUGGAGUUUGUGAAACUAGGGUUUUUCGAAUCCAUUGGCUUGCGAGGUAAAAUUUGAUCUUUUGGCUUAUAAUCUGACUUUGGUGUAGUUAUGAAAAGUGAAAUUGGAGUUGGGAUGAAGAACUUUCAUGUUGGAAGUUUUGUCAAAUUUUGACUUUGAUUUGGCGGCGGUGCCGCCACUGUUGUGGUGUUUUCCGGCCACUUCCGGCCACCCCAAGAACAGUUUCUGUCCAUUUUUGUGUUCUACGUGUCGAUAAGAUCGUUUGCAUAUAUAAUUCAUAAAUUUUGGAUAUCGUAUGAUUAAGUUAUGAAUUUUCAAAGUUUUAGGGUUUUCGGUUCGAUCGAUUUUCGAUCCGUGAGGAUUCGGCUGUCCGUUUGACUUGUCGUUUUGUUAUGUUGAUCGUAUAAGUGUUCCGGAGACCUCGGGUGGUCUCUAAUGAAGUUUUGCCUCGAUUGGCGUUACUUUUGGAUUGUGGGAUUGAUUUGGGAGUUUCGAAAUUUAAUUAUUUUUGGUGAUUCGUGUACUGAAUCGAGGUUGUACUUGCUUUAGGUGAUUGAUAGUACGUCCGGUAAUUUAUCUUGGCUGUUAGCAAGGUUUUAAGUUUCUCCGAAACUGCCGAAAUUUCCGUCGAAAUUUCCGUAAAUUUGAAGUAUUGAAACGAAAUUCAUAUGCUAUAUCAUUUCCGUCAGGAGUUUCUCGAAAUUUACAGAAAUUUUCCGUACAUUUCCGCGAAAUUCUAAAUUUCCGAAAUAUCUACACACAGAAAAUAUAUUUAAAAAUUCAAACCGAAAUUUUGUCCGAAAUUUCUUUGAAAUUUCUGUUAAAUUCGUAUUUCACAGUUUUUGACUUUUAGCUGACAAAAUAUGAAAUUUUGAUUUUUUUUUUUUCAAUCCUCCUUCAUAACACAGAAGCUCUCUUUCUAUCAUCCACCAUAUAAUUAUUAAUUAACAAGGUAUGUUGAAGGCUUUACUGUUCUUUUUACUAGUAUUUUCUUAGUGCGUGGGAGGAUGGAGGAAGUAUCUUGGUUUCUAUGGCUUUUUGACCACCAUGACCAUAAUGAUGUCUUUUAACUUUUUCGUAGGCUUGGAGUUCAGUUUUCUCACAACAAAGUUUGAAUGAGGCAAUAGUACCUCUUUGCUUUUAUCUGCUACCAAAGCACUCAUGCUCUAAGUCUCCAACCACAUCAUGAUUCUAUUUGCAAUCAUGGCUGGAUACACCCAAAAACCCAUCAAGUCAUGUUUGUUCACACUUCACACAGUACUUCACAAUAAUUCUAAAUCUACCUAUAUGGCUAUAUCUAUCACUCUCUCGUCUCUCCUAUAACUUCUGAUCACUAAAUUCACAAAGCAAGCCGUAAACAAAAUAGAGAAAGCAAAGACUGUGAAGAAUUGGAAGAGAUGCGAGCUGGAGCAGAGAAAAAGAGUUGAAGACUCAAUACAAUAAUAAGCUUGGUUGAUUUUAAGCUCUACAAGGUUUUUGGAAUAAAUAAGCAGAAGUGAGUUCAUAAAUGGAACGAGAAGUUUCAUGAAGAUGACAUGGCAAGGAGAGAAUCAAGGAAGAGUUUUUUUUUUAAAAAAGGAAAAUAUAUUUUCCUUGGGGAUUAAAUUUGCCGUGUAAUACUUAAGGAAAAACAAGGUGACAACGUGGGAAUUGAAGAUGAUUGAUUGAGGAUUUCAAGGAGAGAUUUUCUUGGGAGACUUUUAUGGAAAGAAAUAUUGUUGGAGGAAUAAUUUGGUGUGAUUGCCAACGUGAAAAUCAGAAAUAAUCAAGGAGAUGACGCCAAGAGAGAUUCAAGGGAGAAGAAGCAUAGCCGUGAGCAUCCAUCAUCCAUCUCCAACCUUGAAGCUUGCUUUCGAGAUUCAAGAGACCACCACAUCAAUCGUUCAUCACCAUCCCCAUCUCACGGUGUAAUCCGAUUCUUCUUUGUAACCUUUACUUUGAAUUUCGUUGGUUAUGAACUAGUUGACAUAUGUGUUUGAACAAAUAUUAAUUUCUGGAAUUUUUAUGAUUAAUUGAGAAUUUUCAGAUUCAUAUUAUUGUGAUUCGAGAGUUGCUUAUGUGGGGUUUCGAUAUAAUUGGUGCUAGGUUUAAGAACAUGAAAUCGACUUUUCGUUUUGUGUAA
rnacentral:lncRNA from 1 species